rnacentral:siRNA from 1 species
UUCUUUACAGACUGUUCAUGUCA